CGCUCGCCGGAAGACCAAGGGUUCCUGUCCAACGUUAAUCGGGGCAGGGUGAGUCGACCCCUAAGGCGAGGCCGAAAGGCGUAGUCGAUGGGAAACAGGUUAAUAUUCCUGUACUUGGUGUUACUGCGAAGGGGGGACGGAGAAGGCUAUGUUAGCCGGGCGACGGUUGUCCCGGUUUAAGCAUGUAGGCUGGUUAUCCAGGCAAAUCCGGAUAACCAAGGCUGAGGUGUGAUGACGAGGCACUACGGUGCUGAAGUAACAAAUGCCCUGCUUCCAGGAAAAGCCUCUAAGCAUCAGGUAACAUCAAAUCGUACCCCAAACCGACACAGGUGGUCAGGUAGAGAAUACCAAGGCGCUUGAGAGAACUCGGGUGAAGGAACUAGGCAAAAUGGUGCCGUAACUUCGGGAGAAGGCACGCUGGUGUGUAGGUGAAGUCCCUGCGGAUGGAGCUGAGACCAGUCGAAGAUACCAGCUGGCUGCAACUGUUUAUUAAAAACACAGC
rnacentral:rRNA from 1 species